CUUUUAGUAUAAAUAUGUUCUAUGCAAUAUUUGGAACAUACUUAUACUAAAA
rfam:Equus caballus chromosome 5, whole genome shotgun sequence.